rnacentral:lncRNA from 1 species
GGGUGGGUGGGGUCUGGGCUUAGUGGUCCGGGGGGGUCUGGGGGAGGUGGACUCAAAGACGGUGGGGACAGCACCUUCCUUCAGGCGGUGGUAGCCGCUGAAGCCGACGAUCUCAAAGCAGCUCUUCUCAAAGUGCUGUGAGCAGAAGUAGAUGUACUUGGAGGCCGGGUCCCAGCGGCCCUCCCCGCUCGCGUCCCUCCGCCGGCUGUUCUCCAACCACAGUGCCCGACGGGGUUGUCCUUUUUGGGCAGCCUGUGGAAGGAGAUCCCUCUGCUGCGGGUCUCCCGUGUGUCGCGGGUGCAGCAGCCGGCGGCGGAGCAGUGCCGGGGCAUCUCGGUGCUCCCAUCCCGGCGCCGCAGCCGCCGCCGCCUCCAGCUCCAC